UACGUAGGCAGCGAGCGUUGUUCGGAGUUACUGGGCGUAAAGGGUGUGUAGGCGGUUGUUUAAGUUUGGUGUGAAAUCUCCCGGCUCAACUGGGAGGGUGCGCCGAAUACUGAAUGACUAGAGUGCGGGAGAGGAAAGUGGAAUUCCUGGUGUAGCGGUGAAAUGCGCAGAUAUCAGGAGGAACACCGAUUGCGAAGGCAGCUCGCUGGGACGGUACUGACGCUGAGACGCGAAAGCGUGGGGAGCAAACAGG
rnacentral:rRNA from 1 species